UACAGAGGGGGCAAGCGUUGUUCGGAAUUACUGGGCGUAAAGGGCGCGUAGGUGGCCUGCUAAGUCGAACGUGAAAUCCCCGAGCUCAACUCGGGAACUGCGUCCGAUAAUGGUAGGCUUGAAUCCGGGAGAGGGAUGCGGAAUUCCAGGUGUAGCGGUGAAAUGCGUAGAUAUCUGGAGGAACACCGGUGGCGAAGGCGGCAUCCUGGACCGGCAUUGACGCUGAGGCGCGAAAGCUAGGGGAGCAAACGGG
rnacentral:rRNA from 1 species